rnacentral:sRNA from 1 species
CAUUGGGGGCGCAACGCCCUCG